rnacentral:rRNA from 1 species
AUUGAACGCUGGCGGCAGGCCUAACACAUGCAAGUCGAACGAGUGGCGGACGGGUGAGUAAUGUCUGGGAAACUGGCCGAUGGAGGGGGAUAAAUACUGGAAACGGUAGCUAAUAACGCGUACUAUCGGAUGUGCCCAGAUGGGUUUGGCUUGUAGGUGAGGUAACGGCUCACCUAGGCGACGAUCCCUAGCUGGUCUGAGAGGAUGACCAGCCAAAUUGGAACUGGGCCACGGCCCAGACUCCUACGGGAGGCAGCAGUGGGGAAUAUUGCACAAUGGGCGAAAGCCUGAUGCAGCCAUGCCGCGUGUAUGAAGAAGGUCUUCGGGUUGUAAAGUACUUUCAGCGGGGAGGCGUUACCCGCAGAAGAAGCACCGGCUAACUCCGUGCCAGCAGCCGCGGUAAUAC